GACGAACGCUGGCGGCGUGCCUAAUACAUGCAAGUUGAGCGCUGAAGGUUGGUACUUUUACCAACUGGAUGAUCAGCUAACGUGUGAGUAACGCGUGUGUAAUCUGCCUUUUAUCGGUGGACAACAUUUUGAAACGAAUUCUAAUACCGCAUAAAAACUUUAAACACAAUUUUUAAGUUUGAAAUAUGCAAUUUCUUCACUCAAAGAUGAUCCCGCGUUUUAUUAGGUAGUUGGUGAGGUAAAGGCUCUCCAAGGCGAUGAUACAUAGCCGACCUGAGAGGGUGAACGGCGAAAAUGGGAAUGAGAAAAGGCCCAAAAGCAUAAGGGAGGGAGCAGUAGGGAAACAUCGGAAAUGGACGAAAGUCUGACCGAGAAAAGACGCGUGAGUGAAGAAGGUAUUCGGAUCGUAAAACUAUGUUGGUAGAGAAGAAAGUUGGUGAGAGUGGAAAGCUCAUAAAGUGACGGUAACUACCCAGAAAGGGACGGCUAACUACGUG
rnacentral:rRNA from 1 species